UGUGUACUCCCUCCGUUCCAAAAUACCUGACUUCCAUUUGUCCCAAAAAUGUAUGUACCUAUAUACUAAAACAUGUCUACAUACAUAUAUAUUUUGACAAAUAGAAGGCAUGUAUUGUGGAACAGAGGGAGUAGAAU
rfam:Triticum aestivum genome assembly, contig: Triticum_aestivum_CS42_TGACv1_scaffold_145858_2BS